GGUUAAAAGUUGCACAAUCCGCCGAUGCUCCCUCCGGGAGUCACCGAGCCGCCUGGGCUCUACCCCCCGAGCCCCCGACUGCGGCAGAGGCACCGGGGUGAGCGCUACAGGCGGGUGCCCGUCGCCCACCCCGAGCCCGGCGGGCCCCUCACCUUGCGCGUUGUGCUGGUUGUUCUCCAUGAUCGAGGGGGUCGCGGAGCUGCUGCCCAGUUCGGCCAGUCUCCGGUUGGUGGCUGUCAGCUCGGCUCGCAGGAUUUGAUUUCUCCGCACACUGAGCUUUUGCCUGAAGAGAGUGCACAGUAUAGCAGAAAUUCUGAGAUGUCAGCCGGCAGCUGGCGUGGUGAGAGUCGAAGAGAAAAUGAGCAGCUCGCUAUGUGCCCACAGGCAUAAGCAUGAGACAGCGACAUGGGCAAAGUGAUUUUCAGUGUGACAGUGUUGGAGUUUGCUGGCCGCAUACAAUUAAAACAGAAUAAAACCCUCUUCUUGCUGAGCUCCAGAUCACAGAUGGUCCCCCAAUGGGGUGCAGCAGCAGCAUAAGAAACACUCAUGCAAAAUGGGGAAACUGAAGCACAGAGUGAUUACAUGACUUGCCCAAGGUCGCACAAGAAGUCUGGAGUGACACCAAAUCCUCCAAGCCCCAGUUCAGUGCUUUAUCUCCACUGACACCCUCUUAUUCUAGGUGUUCAGUAACUUGUAGAAUCAAACACAAACUUAACACCAGUAUUCUUAAAUAUCUGAAAAGUUAAAUAUUGAGCAACAAGUUUCAGGAGAAAUGGACCUUAAGAGAAGACUAUAUUCUCCAAGACGUUAUAGAAGAUGGGUGGGUGGAGGGAAUCCAAGUAAUAUUUGGAAAUAUUAAAAUACAGUCUAUAUUGUUUGG